rnacentral:rRNA from 1 species
UACGUAGGGUGCGAGCGUUGUCCGGAAUUACUGGGCGUAAAGAGCUCGUAGGUGGUUUGUCGCGUUGUUCGUGAAAACUCACAGCUUAACUGUGGGCGUGCGGGCGAUACGGGCAGACUGGAGUACUGCAGGGGAGACUGGAAUUCCUGGUGUAGCGGUGGAAUGCGCAGAUAUCAGGAGGAACACCGGUGGCGAAGGCGGUUCUCUGGGCAUUACCUGACGCUGGAGGAGCGAAAGUGUGGGGAGCGAACAGGA